CCUCAGCUCUUCGUUUUCCCUUCUCGAACUCCAGUCUCAAAGGGAAAGCCGUAAACCUGCUUCUGAGUCUCAGUUUCCCCUCUGGGGUUGAAAACAACCAGCAGCCUGCAGGCUUGGCCGUGUUCCUGCUUCUCAACAACAGUUUAGGGGAAUAUACGGUCAGAGCUCUCAGGGCACCUUGAUGGGCUGAUAGUCACGAAGCACGGAACUAAAACAGUCUCCUGGCUACUAAAGGACAAGUUGACGUUUCAGAAGGAGAGUGCUACUCACAUCAGUUGAAUAGAGGCCAGGGAUGCUCUCACCAUGCACAGGACAGCCCCCCAUGAUAAAGAAUCAUCUGGCCCAAAGGUCAAUAAUGCUGAAAAACUGGAAUGCAAGGAUAUGAAGAUGAAGUAAACACACAGAAUCACUUAGCAUUGACUUGUACCGAUUCACAAUAUUCAGGAACAAAUCUGAGCUUUUCUGACCUUAAAGUUCUUGGAAAAGAGACCAGACCUGCAUCAAUUACAAUAAACGAGAGCAAUCACAAAGCAUAUGUGCUCCUUCUUUUAAUUUUAGUGAUAUGAAUAAGGCAUUUUGGAGGAAAACAACCCACAGGCUAGGUGUAAGUCCCAUGGAUAAGUCCAUGGCCACUCAUCUGUGCUGCCACCUCCAGCAGAUUAUACAAGAACCCAAGAAAAAGAAUUUAUCCUUCUAUGUUAAAGAAGCAACAGAAUUGGACAGAUGAGACAAGCCAUAGAAAUGCCAUGCCAUGGACUCAAGAAUGAUUUUGUAUCAGACUUCAAAGAUCAUACAGCAUUUCCAGAUUUCUUAACAUCAACAGCUGAAGGAAAAAUGAUGAAAACUGCAGAAAUGUAUAUUACCAUGCUGAUCUGAUGUUUGAUGGCUUGUAGAGUUUGUAAGCUCUUCUGGUUCUUCUAUAUGAGCCACUGCUGCAGCAUGGAUACUGAUAGACAAGUGGUGUGGUUUCAUGCCCGGGGAACCGAACCCAAGCCAUGAAGCAGAGGGUGCCGAACUUUAACUGCUACGCCAUCAGGGCUGGCUCCAGAAGAGGUCUCAGCAGAGGUGCCUGAAGAAGACCUCUACCCAAAGCCUCAUAAUGUUGAACAUCUAAUUCUUGACAUCAGAGAUGGAGAGUUAGAGACUGGAUAUGAGGGACAGAGCCAAUGAGGAAGACAGUCAGUUAGCCUUGGAAGCCCCAGCACGAACUCAUGGAGUGAUGUCAGAUGUCCAGAGGACACAAGGAGAGGAUGCAGACAUUUCCUGGUUACAGCUGACUUCUGCAGUGGUGACCUGACUUAUGU
ensembl:lncRNA